rnacentral:rRNA from 1 species
AUGAUCACGGGAGCUGCUGUUUCAACCGUGUACUGCAACCUCAAGCUGAAACACCCAACUUUCAACAUGCCAAUGAUAGACUAUGAUCUAGCCCUGCUCAUACAACCGAUGCUCAUGAUGGGGGUCAGCAUUGGGGUUAUUUGCAAUGUGAUAUUCCCCGACUGGCUUGUCACGGUUCUCUUCAUCAUCCUUUCUCUAGUUACUUCAACUAAAGCUUUUAUGAAGGGUGUUGAAACAUGGAAGAAAGAAGCACUACUAAUAAGGGAGGCGGCAGCGAAAAAAUCAAAGCAAUCCAGUGAUGGAAUUGAGUACACACCGCCUACCGGAUCCGAUGACAUAGUAGAGACAAGACCCCCCACAGAUGAAGCGUUAUCCAUUUGGAAGAACAUUUACUGGAAGGAGUUUGGACUCCUUAUCUUUGUUUGGGCAGCAAUCCUUACACUUCAAGUCGCCAUGAACUAUGUGGAAACUUGCUCCACUUUGUAUUGGGUUUUUAGCCUACUCCAGAUCCCAGUGUCGGCUGGAGUGUCCAUAUACCAAGCAGUAGGUUUGGUGCAGGGAAAAAGGGUGAUAUCAUCAAGGGCAAAUACACAUACUAGCCUAAAAUCCCAUCUAGUAUUGAUAUGCUUCUUUGGUUUCACUGCUGGUGUCCUCGGCGGUCUUCUUGGCCUCGGUGGGGGCGUCAUCAUGGGGCCACUUUUCUUGGAGCUUGGUAUUCCUCCGCAGGUCUCAAGUGCCACAGCCACCUUUGCAAUGAUGUUUUCAUCAUCCAUAGCCGUCAUAGAAUACUACCUCCUGAACCGGUUCCCUAUACCAUAUGCUCUCUUUUUCACAUGUGUGGCAUUCAUUGCUGCAAUCGUUGGCCAGCUUGUUGCAAGGAAACUGAUAAACUGGUUCGGAAGGGCAUCAUUUAUCAUCUUUGUAUUGUCCUUCAUGAUCUUCAUUGGUGUGAUUCCUCUAGGUACCGGUUUCUCUCUUAUGAAUCCCUUCACUUCAACCAACCUCAUCACAUCGUAUCAAGGCCAAAACAACUUUGAAUUGCAGGUGGAGUCGGUAUCUUAA